GCCUGAGUGGCUCAGUCGGUUGAGCAUCUGACUUUGGCUCAGGUCAUGAUCUCAUGGUUCAUGGGUUCAAGCCCUGCAUCAGGCU
rnacentral:tRNA from 1 species